CCUACGGGGAGCAGCAGUGGGGAAUAUUGCACAAUGGGGGAAACCCUGAUGCAGCGACGCCGCGUGAGUGAAGAAGUAUUUCGGUAUGUAAAGCUCUAUUAGCAGGGAAGAGAAUGACGGUACCUGAGGAAGAAGCCCCGGCUAACUACGUGCCAGCAGCCGCGGUAAUACGUAGGGGGCAAGCGUUAUCCGGAUUUACUGGGUGUAAAGGGAGCGUAGACGGGGAAGAAAGUCUGAAGUGAAAGCCCGCGGCUCAACCGCGGAACUGCUUUGGAAACUUUUUUGCUUGAGUACCGGAGAGGUAAGCGGAAUUCCUAGUGUAGCGGUGAAAUGCGUAGAUAUUAGGAGGAACACCAGUGGCGAAGGCGGCUUACUGGACGGUAACUGACGUUGAGGCUCGAAAGCGUGGGGAGCAAACAGGAUUAGAUACCCCUGUAGUC
rnacentral:rRNA from 1 species